UACAGAGGGUGCGAGCGUUAAUCGGAAUUACUGGGCGUAAAGCGCACGUAGGCGGAUCGAUCAGUCAGGGGUGAAAUCCCAGGGCUCAACCCUGGAACUGCCUUUGAUACUGUCGAUCUGGAGUAUGGAAGAGGUGAGUGGAAUUCCGAGUGUAGAGGUGAAAUUCGUAGAUAUUCGGAGGAACACCAGUGGCGAAGGCGGCUCACUGGUCCAUUACUGACGCUGAGGUGCGAAAGCGUGGGGAGCAACAGG
rnacentral:rRNA from 1 species